AUUGAACGCUGGCGGAAUGCUUUACACAUGCAAGUCGAACGGCAGCACGGACUUCGGUCUGGUGGCGAGUGGCGAACGGGUGAGUAACAUAUCGGAACGUAUCCAAUAAUGGGGGAUAACGAGUCGAAAGAUUCGCUAAUACCGCAUACGCCCUACGGGGGAAAGCUGGGGACCUUCGGGCCUGGCGUUAAUGGAGCGGCCGAUAUCUGAUUAGCUAGUUGGUGAGGUAAUGGCUCACCAAGGCGACGAUCAGUAGCUGGUCUGAGAGGACGACCAGCCAGACUGGAACUGAGACACGGUCCAGACUCCUACGGGAGGCAGCAGUGGGGAAUUUUGGACAAUGGGCGCAAGCCUGAUCCAGCCAUUCCGCGUGAGUGAAGAAGGCCUUCGGGUUGUAAAGCUCUUUCGCAAGGGAAGAAAACUUAGCCACUAACAUUGGUUGAGGUUGACGGUACCUUGAUAAGAAGCACCGGCUAACUACGUGCCAGCCGCCGCGGUAA
rnacentral:rRNA from 1 species